UUCAUUUUUUUUCUAAAAUUGCUUCAGAUCGAUAAGGGUUUCAUGCCCUUAGUGUCCUUAUGGUAACUGUUUAUAUAACUUUCGAAAUGCUUCCAAAAGGUUUGCGACGUUACGUUAAUUAAUCGUGGAGUAUGUUUCCUUGUCGAGUACGAUUUCUUGCAUGCUCUCUCAAAUGUAAAAGUUUCAUGUUCCAUGUUACCAAGUUCUGACGCAGCCAGUGAUGGAAUGCGUAUUUUGGAAUAAAAUGUAUCUUAGCUUAAUAACAUCUACAGUUUCCAAUUCAAUAUGUAAAAUCAGACGGGAGAAGAAACAUCUUGGGUGGUCUAGGGUUUACUUUGUUACACGAAUAUAUUGUGAAUGCCCACAUAACGAUCCUGGAACUGUAUGAAAACCUGUCAACGCAUCUUUGAUAUUCUCUAUUUUUGUGAAAAUAAAACCAUAUCAAUGAAAAAGAAAGACUUCUAGAAAUCAAGGGCUUGCAGUUUUAUACAGUUUAGAAGUACAUUUUGAAAACGAAACUUCCGGAAUUAAAUAUCUGAUACCCAACCAAAAAGCUCUCUCGUAUCAUAAUCAGUGUAAAUCAUUCGUACAAUUCAGCCCGUCUCUGGUACCAAAUAACGAAACAGUAACUUGUUUCAAAAUUGUGUAUAAAUAUGGCGUUUUUGUCUGUGUAUUUUAUUUUUCAAAUGGACCAGAUAUAAUCUACAGUUUUCAGCAGAGAUUAAAAUAUGUCCUUCUUAGGUCUAAAUUUAUGUCGAUCAGUUACGCAGGUAUAUUGAAUGUUACCUUCCACCCUUACGUUACAGCGCUUUAUUCACAUUCAGGUGUAUAUAGUCAAUGAAAAUCCAUAUUUAGAACUUUGUUAUACACUCCGAUACGGGUAUUAGGAUUUACAUUACUUAUACUAAUAUCGUGUUUUUUAGAAUAAAGCUUUUAAAACUGAUUAUGUAGCGGACAACUUUACUUUAUAUGGAAUAUAAAAUUCCGUUUUAAAUGAAGUAGAUAUCUAAUCUGAAGAUCAGAAAUAAACAUGUAAAGGCAGACAUACUUUUAAGACCGUACAGACAGACAAUCAAAAAAGUAAAUAGAGACAAUGUCGUGGCUCAAGUUUUGGAGCAAGAAAACUUCUUCGAAAAAGGACGAUAAGCGGACAAGAUCUGAGUUAAUCCGAUCAGAAUCUUUCAAAGACGAAGGAACACUUGGUGAGACGGAAAAGGAAAAGAACGCGCGAUUACGUCACACGAUGUCAAUAUCGAGGUCUGGGAGAUUCAAACAGAAAAACAAACAACGGGCAGCCAUAUUGGAUAAGCCAGAAUUUUUCUCUGAUUCCACAGACUCCCAGAAAGAAAAUUGUGAAAAUAGUCAAAUUGCAAAGACCGGCAAUAAAAGGACUCCGCCAAGCACUUGUCGGGAAGUGUCGAGCUGCCAGACGAUAACCACACGACAAGGUCAACAGACUGUGCUAUGAUUAAAGAGAAAACAAACAUGUACAAAGUAAAGUGUUCUGUGUGAUUACCCAUGUUGCCAUUUUUAUUUGGAUUUACCAAAUGUUUAUUUGUACAUUAUCAAUUCCAUAACUGUAAUUUAAUUGCCUUAUAGGUUUUAGGAAAAUUUUCAUUGUUUCAUAGUUUCAUAUUGAAUAUUUGAUUAAACAGAUUUCAAAAGCGUUAAUCGUUUCACAAGUUUGAGUAUGAAAUUAUAUUCGUCCACUGUUACUUAACCUUUUCCAAGAUGUAAAAGACGGAUUUAGUUAUCUCUUCUAUUUUAAGGACGAAAGUUAUUACUGAUAAAUGUACGAAUAAUUAAAGAAUAAGAGACCAGUAUAUAGUAGUCGUCAAAUAGCUUCACAACAAAUGUGACGUAGUGUGUGAAACGUUGCUCACAGAAAGUCGUUUACAGUUCAAAGACUUUCUUACAGGAAAGCUCUAGACUAUUAAAAGCUGGACUUCGCAUGAAAUUAUUUACAUUAUUUAGAUAUAUUUUAACAGAUGAACGCUUAAUUGAACUGAAUGUGUUUUACGAUUGACCUACAAAGUGCCUCGUGAUAACCGGUUCUUUGUGAGCGGCGCCCUACAAAUAUAUCCUUGUGAACGUUAAAUUGGAAUCUACUUGUGAACGUUUUACGGUUGUAGGACACUUAACGUACUUGCGCAUCAUUAAAUUUUGUGAAUGUCGGCUGAUGUGGACUGAAAAAAUUCUCAUUGGAAGUAAAGUUAAGAGCCUGUUUUUUUUAUUCUCGUACUAGUAAUUUUUAUGAACGUGUAAAUGUUUUAUGAACUUAGUGUAAAUCUGCGAACAUUCUUUUUGGGUAAACUGGAUUUUUUAUGGAAUAUAAAUUUGUACGUGGACGAAAGUUGAUUGUAUCACGUUAAUAGCAAGGUGAUCAGCUCCACUGUUUUCUGUUUUUGAAUGAACUUUUAUUGUUUGUAUAAACAUCUAUCUGUCUCAUUAUAAAUCUAUAUACAUAUAAAAUUAAAAAAAAAUGGGUUUCUUUUUAGAAAA
rnacentral:lncRNA from 1 species